UGAGGAAUCUUCCACAAUGGACGAAAGUCUGAUGGAGCAACUCCGCGUGCAGGAUGAAGGCCCUCGGGUCGUAAACUGCUUUUAUGAGUGAAGAAUAUGACGGUAACUCAUGAAUAAGGGUCGGCUAACUACGUGCCAGCAGCCGCGGUCAUACGUAGGACCCAAGUGUUAUCCGGAGUGACUGGGCGUAAAGAGUUGCGUAGGCGGCGGACAAAGCGAAUGGUGAAACCUGGUGGCUCAACCACUAGACUAUUAUUCGAACUCGUCUGCUCGAGAGUAAGAGAGGUACCUGGAAUUUCUAGUGUAGGAGUGAAAUCCGUAGAUAUUAGAAGGAACACCAAUGGCGUAAGCAGGGUACUGGCUUAUUUCUGACGCUAAGGCACGAAAGCGUGGGGAGCGAAC
rnacentral:rRNA from 1 species